rnacentral:rRNA from 1 species
UUAAGCGACUAAGCGUACACGGUGGAUGCCCUGGCAGUCAGAGGCGAUGAAGGACGUGCUAAUCUGCGAAAAGCGUCGGUAAGGUGAUAUGAACCGUUAUAACCGGCGAUGUCCGAAUGGGGAAACCCAGUGCAAUUCGUUGCACUAUCGUUAACUGAAUACAUAGGUUAACGAGGCGAACCGGGGGAACUGAAACAUCUAAGUACCCCGAGGAAAAGAAAUCAACCGAGAUUCCCCCAGUAGCGGCGAGCGAACGGGGAGCAGCCCAGAGUCUGAAUCAGCUUGUGUGUUAGUGGAACGGUCUGGAAAGUCCGACGGUACAGGGUGAUAGUCCCGUACACCAAAAUGCACAGGCUGUGAACUCGAAGAGUAGGGCGGGACACGUGGUAUCCUGUCUGAAUAUGGGGGGACCAUCCUCCAAGGCUAAAUACUCCUGACUGACCGAUAGUGAACCAGUACCGUGAGGGAAAGGCGAAAAGAACCCCGGCGAGGGGAGUGAAAAAGAACCUGAAACCGUGUACGUACAAGCAGUGGGAGCACCUUUAUGGUGUGACUGCGUACCUUUUGUAUAAUGGGUCAGCGACUUAUAUUCUGUAGCAAGGUUAACCGUAUAGGGGAGCCGCAGGGAAACCGAGUCUUAACUGGGCGUUAAGUUGCAGGGUAUAGACCCGAAACCCGGUGAUCUAGCCAUGGGCAGGUUGAAGGUUGGGUAACACUAACUGGAGGACCGAACCGACUAAUGUUGAAAAAUUAGCGGAUGACUUGUGGCUGGGGGUGAAAGGCCAAUCAAACCGGGAGAUAGCUGGUUCUCCCCGAAAGCUAUUUAGGUAGCGCCUCGUGAAUUCAUCUUCGGGGGUAGAGCACUGUUUCGGCUAGGGGGUCAUCCCGACUUACCAACCCGAUGCAAACUACGAAUACCGAAGAAUGUUAUCACGGGAGACACACGGCGGGUGCUAACGUCCGUCGUGAAGAGGGAAACAACCCAGACCGCCAGCUAAGGUCCCAAAGUCAUGGUUAAGUGGGAAACGAUGUGGGAAGGCACAGACAGCCAGGAUGUUGGCUUAGAAGCAGCCAUCAUUUAAAGAAAGCGUAAUAGCUCACUGGUCGAGUCGGCCUGCGCGGAAGAUGUAACGGGGCUAAACCAUGCACCGAAGCUGCGGCAGCGACACUAUGUGUUGUUGGGUAGGGGAGCGUUCUGUAAGCCUGCGAAGGUGACCUGUGAGGGUUGCUGGAGGUAUCAGAAGUGCGAAUGCUGACAUAAGUAACGAUAAAGCGGGUGAAAAGCCCGCUCGCCGGAAGACCAAGGGUUCCUGUCCAACGUUAAUCGGGGCAGGGUGAGUCGACCCCUAAGGCGAGGCCGAAAGGCGUAGUCGAUGGGAAACAGGUUAAUAUUCCUGUACUUGGUGUUACUGCGAAGGGGGGACGGAGAAGGCUAUGUUAGCCGGGCGACGGUUGUCCCGGUUUAAGCAUGUAGGCUGGUUAUCCAGGCAAAUCCGGAUAAUCAAGGCUGAGGUGUGAUGACGAGGCACUACGGUGCUGAAGUAACAAAUGCCCUGCUUCCAGGAAAAGCCUCUAAGCAUCAGGUAACAUCAAAUCGUACCCCAAACCGACACAGGUGGUCAGGUAGAGAAUACCAAGGCGCUUGAGAGAACUCGGGUGAAGGAACUAGGCAAAAUGGUGCCGUAACUUCGGGAGAAGGCACGCUGGUGUGUAGGUGAAGUCCCUGCGGAUGGAGCUGAGACCAGUCGAAGAUACCAGCUGGCUGCAACUGUUUAUUAAAAACACAGCACUGUGCAAACACGAAAGUGGACGUAUACGGUGUGACGCCUGCCCGGUGCCGGAAGGUUAAUUGAUGGGGUUAUCCGUAAGGAGAAGCUCUUGAUCGAAGCCCCGGUAAACGGCGGCCGUAACUAUAACGGUCCUAAGGUAGCGAAAUUCCUUGUCGGGUAAGUUCCGACCUGCACGAAUGGCGUAAUGAUGGCCAGGCUGUCUCCACCCGAGACUCAGUGAAAUUGAACUCGCUGUGAAGAUGCAGUGUACCCGCGGCAAGACGGAAAGACCCCGUGAACCUUUACUAUAGCUUGACACUGAACAUUGAGCCUUGAUGUGUAGGAUAGGUGGGAGGCUUUGAAGCGUGGACGCCAGUCUGCGUGGAGCCAACCUUGAAAUACCACCCUUUAAUGUUUGAUGUUCUAACGUUGGCCCCUUAUCGGGGUUGCGGACAGUGUCUGGUGGGUAGUUUGACUGGGGCGGUCUCCUCCCAAAGCGUAACGGAGGAGCACGAAGGUUAGCUAAUCCUGGUCGGACAUCAGGAGGUUAGUGCAAUGGCAUAAGCUAGCUUGACUGCGAGCGUGACGGCGCGAGCAGGUGCGAAAGCAGGUCAUAGUGAUCCGGUGGUUCUGAAUGGAAGGGCCAUCGCUCAACGGAUAAAAGGUACUCCGGGGAUAACAGGCUGAUACCGCCCAAGAGUUCAUAUCGACGGCGGUGUUUGGCACCUCGAUGUCGGCUCAUCACAUCCUGGGGCUGAAGUAGGUCCCAAGGGUAUGGCUGUUCGCCAUUUAAAGUGGUACGCGAGCUGGGUUUAGAACGUCGUGAGACAGUUCGGUCCCUAUCUGCCGUGGGCGCUGGAGAAUUGAGGGGGGCUGCUCCUAGUACGAGAGGACCGGAGUGGACGCAUCACUGGUGUUCGGGUUGUCAUGCCAAUGGCACUGCCCGGUAGCUAAAUGCGGAAGAGAUAAGUGCUGAAAGCAUCUAAGCACGAAACUUGCCCCGAGAUGAGUUCUCCCUGAGACUUUAAGUCUCCUGAAGGAACGUUAAAGACGAUGACGUUGAUAGGCCGGGUGUGUAAGCGCAGCGAUGCGUUGAGCUAACCGGUACUAAUGAACCGUGAGGCUUAACCU